rnacentral:lncRNA from 1 species
CUUGAUUUGUACCAAACUUGGACAGAAGCUUGUUUAUGAUCAUAAGAUAGUAUCAAGAAGAAAAUUUUGUAAAAAAUAAAUUUCCACUUUUCCGUAUUUUACUUAUAAAUGGACUUAGUUUUUCUGCGAGGAAACAUUACAUUCACUCUGUGGUUAAAGUUUUUAAAAUUUUAAAAACUUUCAUAAACUAUCCUUGAUUUGUACCAAACUUGGACAGAAGCUUGUUUAUGAUCAUAAGAUAGUAUCAAGAAG